GCGGGUGAGUAGCUGGUGCGCUCCCUGGUCUUCAAAACCAUGCGAGGGGCCGGUUCGGUCCUUGGUGGGUUCGAUUCCCACACGCUCCC
rnacentral:tRNA from 1 species